CCGGCGGCCAGGGCCUUGGGGCUUCCGCUCCUCCUGGGAGCGGUCAGCCGCCGGGGUUCCGGGCCCCGUCGGUGGGC
rnacentral:tRNA from 1 species